rnacentral:rRNA from 1 species
AUUGAACGCUGGCGGCAUGCCUUACACAUGCAAGUCGAACGGUAACAGGUUAAGCUGACGAGUGGCGAACGGGUGAGUAAUGUAUCGGAACGUGCCCAGUCGUGGGGGAUAACUGCUCGAAAGAGCAGCUAAUACCGCAUACGACCUGAGGGUGAAAGCGGGGGAUCGCAAGACCUCGCGCGAUUGGAGCGGCCGAUAUCAGAUUAGGUAGUUGGUGAGGUAAAGGCUCACCAAGCCGACGAUCUGUAGCUGGUCUGAGAGGAGGACCAGCCACACUGGGACUGAGACACGGCCCAGACUCCUACGGGAGGCAGCAGUGGGGAAUUUUGGACAAUGGGCGCAAGCCUGAUCCAGCCAUGCCGCGUGCGGGAAGAAGGCCUUCGGGUUGUAAACCGCUUUUGUCAGGGAAGAAAAGGUUCUGGCUAAUACCUGGGACUCAUGACGGUACCUGAAGAAUAAGCACCGGCUAACUACGUG